rnacentral:rRNA from 1 species
UGCAAUUGGAUUGAGAACAACGUACAACUCUUAUCGAUAAGCCAUUGGAGGGCAAGUCUGGUGCCAGCAGCCGCGGUAAUUCCAGCUCCAAUAGCGUAUAUUAACGUUGUUGCAGUUAAAAAGCUCGUAGUUGAAGUGAGGGAGUGUGUGUUCAUGAGAGCUAGUCUCGAGUGUUCACAACCUCCCCCCUCCAAUCGGUGUAGUGGGGUAUUCAGUUAUUUCACUACUCCUUUGGUCGUUUACUGUGAGAAAAUUAGAGUGUUCAAAGCGGGCGUUUGUUUGAAUAGAUUAGCAUGGAAUAAUGAUUGAAGGCUUUCGUGUUCGAUUUGAUUGGUUUGUUCAUGGAAGCAAGGUUAAAAGGAACAGUUGGGGGUAUUCAUAUUCACUAGUUAGAGGUGAAAUUCUCGGAUUUAUGGAAGA